rnacentral:rRNA from 1 species
AUUGAACGCUGGCGGCAGGCCUAACACAUGCAAGUCGAGCGGAUGAAGGGAGCUUGCUCCUGGAUUCAGCGGCGGACGGGUGAGUAAUGCCUAGGAAUCUGCCUGGUAGUGGGGGAUAACGUCCGGAAACGGGCGCUAAUACCGCAUACGUCCUGAGGGAGAAAGUGGGGGAUCUUCGGACCUCACGCUAUCAGAUGAGCCUAGGUCGGAUUAGCUAGUUGGUGGGGUAAAGGCCUACCAAGGCGACGAUCCGUAACUGGUCUGAGAGGAUGAUCAGUCACACUGGAACUGAGACACGGUCCAGACUCAUACGGGAGGCAGCAGUGGGGAAUAUUGGACAAAGGGCGAAAGACUGAACCAGACAUGCCGCGUGUGUGAAGAAGGUCUUCGGAUUGUAAAGCACUUUAAGUUGGGAGGAAGGGCAGUAAGUUAAUACCUUGCUGUUUUGACGGUACCAACAGAAUAAGCACCGGCUAACUUCGUG